rnacentral:rRNA from 1 species
AGGGCGCAUGGCGGAUGCCUUGGCUCACGGAGGCGAUGAAGGACGUGAUAAGCUGCGAUAAGCCUUGGGUAGGUGCAAAUAACCUUUGAUCCAGGGAUUUCCGAAUGGGACAACCCGGCAGGCUGAAGGCCUGUCAUCACUGCAAAUGCAGUGAGGCGAACGGAGGGAACUGAAACAUCUUAGUACCUCCAGGAAGAGAAAAUAAUUUAAUGAUUCCCCUAGUAGUGGCGAGCGAACGGGGAAGAGCCCAAACCUGUGACGUAGCAAUGCGCCGCAGGGGUUGUAGGACCACGUUGUCGUACUUUGAUUGUGAGGCGAAUAUACUGGAAAGUAUAAUCAUAGAGGGUGAUAAUCCCGUAUCCGAAGCAUGAUGAGACGUAGUGGUAUCCUGAGUAACGCGGAACACGUGUAAUUCUGCGCGAAUCCGCCGGGACCAUCCGGUAAGGCUAAAUACUCCCGUGAGACCGAUAGUGAACGAGUACUGUGAAGGAAAGGUGAAAAGCACUCCGAUGAGGAGAGUGAAAUAGUUCCUGAAACCAUGCGCCUACAAGCGGUCGGAGCUGUUAAUUCAGUGACGGCGUGCCUUUUGCAUAAUGAACCUACGAGUUACCAUGUCUGGCAAGGAUAAGUGCCAUUAGUCACGUAUCCGCAGUGAAAGCGAGCCUGAACAGGGCGUCGAGUCAGAUGGGGUAGACGCGAAACCAAGUGAUCUACACUUGCCCAGGUUGAAGUCCGGGUAACACCGGAUGGAGGACCGCACGGAUAAGCGUUGAAAAGCUUCCCGAUGAGGUGAGUGUAGGAGUGAAAGGCCAAUCAAACUUGGAGAUAGCUCGUACUCCCCGAAAGGCAUUUAGGUGCCGCGUGCAUCGAUCUCCAUGAGAGGUAGAGCGACCGAUAGGUCAAGAGGGCUUCACCGCCUAUCGAGACCUGACGAACUCCGAAUGCUUAUGGAUAGCAGAUGUGCAGUAAGGGGGCGGGUGCUAAGGUCCGUCCCCGAGAGGAGAAGAAUCCAGACCGCCGUCUAAGGUCCCGAAAUUCUGUCUAAGUUAGUCUAACGAAGUCUGGUCCCCGUGACAGCUAGGAUGUUGGCUUGGAAGCAGCCAUUCAUUCAAAGAGUGCGUAACAGCUCACUAGUCGAGGGUCCGGGCAUGGAUAAUAAUCGGGUAUAAGUCAGAUACCGAAGGCGCGGGAUAGCAAUGUAAAUUAAAAGUAUCGGUAGGGGAGCAUUCCAUCGACGUUGAAUGGUGAAGGUAACUGAUCCUGGAGUUUAUGGAAAAGCAAAUGUAGGUAUAAGUAACGAUAAAAAGGGUGAGAUUCCCUUUCGCCGAAAGACCGAGGUUUCCCGGGCGAUGCCAAUCAGCCCGGGGUUAGUCGGGUCCUAAGUCUCAGCCGAACGGCGAAGGCGAUGGCAGAUGCGGUUAAUAUUCCGCAACUCGCAUAUUCAGUGAUGUGGAGACGGAGCAGUGACACUGCCGCGCCCUGACGGAAUAGGGCGUUUAAGUCUGUAGGCUAUGAGGAUGGCAGGCAAAUCCACCAUCCGAGCUGAACGAUGAAAGUACGGGUUGUCCUUCGGGACGACUUGAGUGCAGGUAAUCAUACUUCCGAGAAAAUCCGCUAAACUUAAUGUUUAUGCGACCCGUACCGCAAACGGACACACGUGGUCGGGUAGAAUAUACUAAGGCGUUGAGAGAUUCAUGGUUAAGGAACUAGGCAAAUUGACCCCGUAACUUCGGGAUAAGGGGUCCUCAUGUAUAAUGAGGCGCAGAGAAUAGGUCCAGGCAACUGUUUAACAAAAACACAGGGCUGUGCAAACUCGAAAGAUGACGUAUACAGCCUGACACCUGCCCGGUGCUGGAAGGUUAAGAGGAGAUGUCACUACUUCAGUAGGAAGCAUUGAAUUGAAGCCCCAGUAAACGGCGGCCGUAACUAUAACGGUCCUAAGGUAGCGAAAUUCCUUGUCGGGUAAGUUCCGACCUGCACGAAUGGUGUAAUGAUCCGGACGCUGUCUCAACCAUGAUCUCAGUGAAAUUGUAGUAUCGGUGAAGAUGCCGAUUACCCGCGAUGGGACGAAAAGACCCCGUGAACCUUUACUACAGCUUAGCAUUGACCUUGGUCAUCCGAUGUGUAGGAUAGGCCGGAGGCUUUGAAUCGGGUGCGCCAGCAUUCGUGGAGCCAUCCUUGAAAUACGGCCCUUUGGCUGUCUGAGGUCUAACGCGCGUAAUGUGCGGACACUGCUUGGUGGGUAGUUUGACUGGGGUGGUCGCCUCCAAAAGCGUAACG